rnacentral:rRNA from 1 species
AAGAACGCUGGCGGCAUGCUUAACACAUGCAAGUCGAACGGACAAACUUUUGUAGUAAUACAAAAGCUUGUUAGUGGCAGACGGGUGAGUAACACGUAGGAAUCUACCCUAUAGUACGGAACAACAGUUGGAAACGACUGCUAAUACCGUAUACGCUUCUCGAAGGAAAGAUUUAUCGCUAUAGGAUGAGCCUGCGCUAGAUUAGGUAGUUGGUGGGGUAAUGGCCUACCAAGCCUACGAUCUAUAGCUGGUUUGAGAGAACGACCAGCCACACUGGAACUAAGACACGGUCCAGACUCCUACGGGAGGCAGCAGUGGGGAAUAUUGGACAAUGGGCGCAAGCCUGAUCCAGCAAUGCCGCGUGAAUGAUGAAGGCCUUCGGGUUGUAAAGUUCUUUUAGUAGGGAAGAAAUUGACGGUACCUACAGAAAAAGCUCCGGCUAACUCUGU